UAGCAAUAUUGGGUGGUGGGAGCGGCGCAAGGGUGCGUAACACGUGGGUAAUCUGCCAUGAAGUUUGGGAUAACUUGCUGAAAGGCGAGCUAAUACCGGAUGUGACCCCUGGGGAGCAAUCUUUGGGGGUUAAAGUUGGGGACCGCAAGGCCUGACGCUUCAUGAUGAGCCCGCGGCCUAUCAGCUAGUUGGCGGGGUAACGGCCCACCAAGGCAAAGACGGGUAGCUGGUCUGAGAGGACGACCAGCCACACUGGAACUGAGACACGGUCCAGACACCUACGGGUGGCAGCAGUCGAGAAUUUUUCACAAUGGGCGCAAGCCUGAUGGAGCGACGCCGCGUGGGGGAUGAAUGGCUUCGGCCCGUAAACCCCUGUCAUUCGCGAUCAAGGCGCAUUAUUUAAAAGAUGGUGCGUUGAUAGUAGCGGAAGAGGAAGGGACGGCUAACUCUGUGCCAGCAGCCGCGGUAAUACAGAGGUCCCGAGCGUUGUUCGGAUUCACUGGGCGUAAAGGGUGCGUAGGUGGUGAGGCAAGUCGGAUGUGAAAGCUCGGAGCUCAACUCCGAAAUGGCAUUGGAAACUGCCUUGCUUGAGGUUUGGAGGGGGGACUGGAAUGCUUGGUGUAGCAGUGAAAUGCGUAGAUAUCAAGCGGAACACCAGUGGCGAAGGCGAGUCCCUGGACAACACCUGACACUGAGGCACGAAAGCUAGGGGAGCAAACAGGAUUAGAUACCCUGGUAGUCCUAGCCGUAAACGGUGCACGUUUGCUGU
rnacentral:rRNA from 1 species